UCGGAGUCUGUGUCUCCCUCUCUCUCUGCUCCUUCCUGACUCGCACUCUGUCUCUCAAAAAUGAAUAAACGUUAAAAAAAAUAAUAUUACAGACCCUCAGUGACGACAUCCAAGGAAUACCUACCACUGGUUCUCAAAGUGUGGUUCUCAGGCGAGCAGCAUUAUCAUCGCGAGGGAACCUGGUAGGCAUGCAAAUUAUCCAAGCUCAUUCCAGACCUACCAAAUGUGAAACUGCAGGUGGGGCCAGCCAUGUUUUGACAAGCUUUCCAGGGAAUUCGAAUGUGUGCUAAGGUUUGACAACCACUGCUUUCCACCAGUGCUUCUCAAAAUUGAAAAUACAUCUGCAUGGCCUGGGGAUCUGGUUAUGCAGCACAUUCUGACAUCUAGCAGGGAUGGAAUGGAGCCCCGAGACCCUGCACUUCUCACAAGAUCCCUGGUGAGCCCCUGGUGCUGUGGCUCAGACCACAUGGAGUCACUUCAGAAGGCAGAUUGAGUGUGUAUUCAAUGACGAGAGUGUUUCCUAAGGAAAUAAUGCAAAUCUUGUCAGCAUUUUAUUUCAUUUUUAUUUCAAGGCCAUGGGCGAGACUAAUGCCGCUCUCUUUGAAGAGCUUGCUCUCUGGGGUUCUGGGGACGCGUUGAGGAACAGUGCCGUAUUUGUGUGUCUGUAGCUUUGCCUCCUGAAAGCUCCAAAACAUUCGCUGCCACUCCUGACUUUUUGUGAACAGUUCCUCUUUCCAGAUGGAGAAGCUGAGGCUGGCCCCCAGAGCUAUUUGUGUUCCAAGGUCAGAGAGACCUGGGACAGCCUGGGCUGGCGAAGCCCUCCUGACCCGGCUGGAAGCUCUUCCCACCCGCCCCUUGCGCCUCUCUCAGCAGCCUGCGGGAAGUGGUGAUGGAGCUCAGAAGAUUAGCACGGCCGCAGCUCAGUAGUAAAACCCAGGGCAGCUCACUCUCCAGGCUCGCUGGUGAAUAAACAGGGAUCUUUAUCAUCCUUUCCGUCAGAAAGCAUUUAUUUAAAACCCCUUGGCUAACUCACAGGGUGAGCUGGCCUGUCACACACCAUCACAUGGGAUGGAAACUGGUAAUUAAAUUUAGCAACCCACCUCGGCAAAUCCAGACGGAGAUGUUUACAGGCCAGCACGAAAGGAGCCAGGAGUUUUCACUCCUAAAUCAAGAGGUUUCCAGAGAAAGUGAAGCCUAAUGACAAAAGCACGUCACCUACAGAUGUUCCUGAAUGGCACUGGGGCCCUUGGGCUUAGGAGGUUCAAGAUUCCAGCCAAGAGGCCCUAUCUGUAGGAGAAGGCUGGAAUGUGGAUGUGGUGGCUGGAGUGCAGUAGUCAUUUUGGGCCAUAAGGUAGAAAGUCUAUGUUGAUAAGGAGCCUGGUUUCCUGAUGAUUGGGGAUGUUAUUACAACUCUAGUCUGUUUACCUUUCUUCUUCACUAUGUGAGAACAUAAUAAAGAACAUAGUAAAGUACAAACAAUGUGUUUGUAACAAACCACAGUUAUGUUGGGUUUUCUGAAACUUAGGAACCCACUCAUAACUAAUCUACCAUGGAAAGUACACACACACACACACACACACACACAUACACACACCCGAAGGAACACUAUUGAAAUGAAGGACAUGGGCUUCCCAGUUGGAUUGCUUUGCUCCAAAUUCUAGCUCCACUACUUUCUAGCUGUGUGCCAUUGGACAAGUUUCUUCACCUCUCUGUGCCUCAGUUUCCAAACUUAUAAAAUGGGAAUGGUAUAACAAUUAUGCAGUUUUCGUUUGUUUUUAGAGAAGAUUAAAUUAGAGAAUACAUUUAAAAACAUAGAACAGUGAUUGACCCAUAGCAAAUAUUUGAU